CGGCGUGCUUAACACGAUAGCAAGUCGAACGCGAACGGGGCUUCGGCCCAGUAGAGUGGCGCACGGGUGAGUAACGCGUGGACAAUCUGCCCUUAUGACUGGAAUAACAGUUGGAAACGGCUGCUAAUACCGGAUACGCUCAGGAAGAACUUUUUGAGGAAAGGCGGCCUCUGCUUGCAAGCUGUCGCAUAAGGAUGAGUCCGCGUCCCAUUAGCUAGUUGGCGGGUAACGCCACAAGGCAACGAUGGGUAGCCGAUUUGAGAGGAUGAUCGGCCACACUGGGACUGAAACACGGCCCAGACUCCUACGGGAGGCAGCAGUGGGGAAUAUUGCGCAAUGGGCGAAAGCCUGACGCAGCGACGCCGCGUGAGGGAUGAAGGUUUUUCCGGAUCGUAAACCUCUGUCAGAAGGGAAGAAACUGCCGUGCUCUAAUCAUCAUGGCAUUGACGGUACCUUCAAAGGAAGCACCGGCUAACUCCGUGCCAGCCGCUGC
rnacentral:rRNA from 1 species